AGUGAACGCUGGCGGUAGGCCUAACACAUGCAAGUCGAACGGCAGCACAGUAAGAGCUUGCUCUUACGGGUGGCGAGUGGCGGACGGGUGAGGAAUACAUCGGAAUCUACUUUUUCGUGGGGGAUAACGUAGGGAAACUUACGCUAAUACCGCAUACGACCUACGGGUGAAAGCAGGGGAUCUUCGGACCUUGCGCGAUUGAAUGAGCCGACGUCGGAUUAGCUAGUUGGCGGGGUAAAGGCCCACCAAGGCGACGAUCCGUAGCUGAUCUGAGAGGAUGAUCAGCCACACUGGAACUGAGACACGGUCCAGACUCCUACGGGAGGCAGCAGUGGGGAAUAUUCGGCAAUGGGCGAAAGCCUGAUCCAGCAAUACCGCGUGGGUGAUGAAGGUCUUCGGGUUGUAAAGCCCUUUUAUUGGGAAAGAAAAGCAGUAUGUUAAUCCCCCGCUGUUCUGACGGUACCCAAAGAGUAAGCCCCGGCUAACUUCGUG
rnacentral:rRNA from 1 species